GACGAAAAUUGAUGUGCAACAAUUAAAGUCGUUUAAGCAUUGCAAAGUGGAGUUGCUAUUAGGGAACAAUUGGACUAUCCAACAGGACCUACAUCAAAUUCUGAAUCAAACUGUAGUUACUUCAAGUGGGCUACUGCUUCAACAUUUAAGGAAAAGGGAAAGUGAAGUCUCCACUGCAUAUAUUCGCCUAAAUGAUAAACGAUUAAAACUCUGCCAUAAUGAGAGCUCAGGUUAGUUAAAAGUUCGAAACUUUCUCACUCGGAGUACAUGUUAUCUCCACAUUUUUGUAUUUUUUCUCAACAGGUAACCUUCUAUUUCUACUUUGAUGUGAAAAGUUGUAGCAUCUUUUUACUUGAUAAAUUACAGAAUCAGACCCCAAGUAACUUUCGGAUUGAGGUGUAGUUGCUGUUAAACCGCAUAUCAACAGAUCCAGCAUUUGGUGUCAUAAUUAGCUGAAAUUAUAUAACAACUGCAUAACUUUUGAUGUUUCCCUGGAUGAGACCUUUGGUAUGAGGUGUGUGUGUCCAUUCUUUUUGCCAUUAUGUUCUUUGACACAAUUACUUGGGUGUUAAUCUUUCUUCACAACGUUACAUCCUCCCAUGUGCUUAUGUGAAUUUCACAUAUGAAGUUUGGGCAUUGGGGUGGGAGUUUGGGGAAUUGGUGUCCAUACAUAUUAUUAUGUCCACAUUGUAGAAUAAAAUAAUUCGUGAUCUUCUCAAAAAAUAUCAUUUGUGUUACUAAAAUUACCCAUUCGGUUAGCAAAAUCAUUUGUGGCAUUAAUUUCAUUUUUUCUGAAAGAUGAUGAAUUAGUUUCGGAAGUAAUCAUAAAACUAAUUUUCCAGGUGAAUUUAGAAGCUGGUUUCUAGCUAGAAGGAUGUUGAUUAGUUAUACGAAGAUGAUCAAUUUUCUGAUUUAUAUGCUUUCGUUGAGACAUGAAGCUUUUAAGUAAAUUUGUCAUAAUUUUCUGUGAAGGAACUUUAUCAGAAAAAGUAAAUUUUAUUGAAGGGUUUGAACUUUGAAGUAACCAUGUUUUUUGUGUUUUAUUUUUCUUGCAAAACAACGGAGAAUAAUUGACUCGAGAAAAUUAAUAGUUGAAAUUUGGAAUCGACUAAUAUUUUCAAUUUCUAAUUUAUUGGAUCUUCACUACGUCUAAUAGAAUGGAAGUAUGUCACUCUUUCAUGUCUUUUUAAUGAUUAAAAUUCAUUGUUUUUCUAGCAAACUGAGGAAUAUAUUAAAAUCAAAAUAUUUUGUAUUUGUUUUUAUAAAAGCCUUUGUGAUCAAAGUGCGUGUGGUGGGAGGUAGAUAAAGUGUUGAUGGUGAUAGUGAUAAAUAGGAGGUGCCGAAAGCAAAGUUUUUUCUUAUUGCUCAGUAGGGAGGAAGGACGAGGAGAGUGUGAGACAAUUAGUUGUUUUCUACUACUACUACUUGUUUUUUAUGGUGAGUAGAGAAUAUUCUUGAGAUCUGAAAAUUGGUAUAGUAGUGCCAUCAUGGCUACUGCAAUUCUUUCUUGUUCUACUGAUUUAUUGCUCAAUUUGGUUGUUCAUGGAGUUAAUUAGUAUAUCUGGCUUGAACCUUUAAUUUGGAUAGACUAUGCAAGAUCAAUAAUUAUAGUUGCACGGAGUACGGUACAAUUUCAUUCGGAAAUCCCAGACGCUCUAGCUAGGGCUGUUAGAGGCAACUAUAUAUGACGAUUUUGAUUGAGAUGACCAACAAGGUAAGUCGACAUCUGCUAAUAAGUGAUAUUCUUGAGGAGCUGCAAGAGGAAAGAAAACAAAAGAAGAACAGAAAUAAGGAUAAAAUGAGAAUAUAUUUAUUAGCAAAUAAAUACGAAACUCGGUAAAUUCUGAUGUUACUUUUUGCUAUUAGCAAGGAAGGAAGGUACAUCCAUUUGAAGUAAUUUUCUUGCCUACUGUGCUUCUGCAUUUUUAGGUAAUUGCAAUUGAUGUGCUGGAUAAGGUUAAUGACCGUGACACAGAGAUCAUGAGUCUUUAUAAUAAAUGGAUAACUGCCAGUAGAGCUAAUAGGUGUAUCAUAGGAGAGAAUUCAAGACAUCGUUUGGUGAAGAACGUUAAAUCAGCAUCUCCAUUUAUGACUUACUAGGAUGCUUAAGUCAAGUAGAUGAGUCUGGAGCAGUUAUGACAUGAUUCUGUUUCUUCCCAAGCUCUUUGUUGGCAUGGAGAAAUGAUAUCUUUGCUUUGAUCUAUUUGAAUCUUUGUCCAUACUUGUUGUUUCAUGAAGCAAUUUGACAUUUAACUUAGGGUUUGAAAUUGGUAUUUUGAGAACGAAGCUUUUCUUCUAGAGAUGGACCAAAUAAUUGAAAGGUCUCCUACUGUGCAUCCGAUUUCUUGGAGUUCAAGGGGGAAAAACAGGUUAUCUUCUUAGUCUCACUCUCCAAAUACUUCUUCUAUGUUACCCUGUAUCACCUUCUACUUCUGUAAGCUUUGGCCAUAUCUUUCGGUUAUAGUCGAUAUCUACCUAUUUUCGGAGGACGGAGACUGACUGCUAAGUUGGGGACUUUAUAUUAGGGUGGUGGAUGAUUUUGGAAUAGAAAACGGAUGACAAAGAGAAAGAAGAACCAGUGGAAUACUAUACACUAUUAAGUUGUUGGAGUGCUGGAACGGAGAAAAGCUAGCCAGGAGAAAGAACCAGUGGAAUAUGAUAAGAUGUUUUUAAGAGUGGAAUAUAAAAAUAAUGCUAAAUCAAUUCUUAGAGAUGUUAAAAACAUUACAGGGUUAUACUUUUGUCGGAUGUACUCAUGUAUUC